UACGUAGGUGGCGAGCGUUGUCCGGAUUUACUGGGCGUAAAGAGCGCGCAGGCGGUCGUUCAAGUCGCGUGUGAAAGCCCCCGGCUCAACUGGGGAGGGUCACGCGAUACUGAUCGACUCGAAGGCAGGAGAGGGAAGUGGAAUUCCCGGUGUAGUGGUGAAAUGCGUAGAUAUCGGGAGGAACACCAGUGGCGAAGGCGACUUCCUGGCCUGUUCUUGACGCUGAGGCGCGAAAGCUAGGGGAGCAACGGG
rnacentral:rRNA from 1 species